GGCCACAGCCAUAUCACACUGCAGCCCAAGUUGGUUACUCACUAAGCACGGCUGAGCCUGGUCAGUAACUGGAUGGGAGACCACAUGGGAAGACUAGGUUGUUGUUGAAA
rfam:Danio rerio chromosome 24, GRCz11 reference primary assembly.